rnacentral:tRNA from 1 species
GGGAAGGUAGCUCAGUGGUAGAGUGCUUGUCUAACAUGCAUGAGGCCCUGGGUUCAAUUCCUCAGCACCA